rnacentral:tRNA from 1 species
AGCACUGUAGCUUAGCUGGUUAAAGCACCUGCCUAGUAAACAGGAGAUCUUGGGUUCAGGUCCUAGCAGUGCCU